AGAGUUUGAUCCUGGCUCAGGAUGAACGCUAGCUACAGGCUUAACACAUGCAAGUCGAGGGGAAACGAUAUUGGAAGCUUGCUUCCGAUAGGCGUCGACCGGCGCACGGGUGAGUAACGCGUAUCCAACCUGCCCACCACUUGGGGAUAACCUUGCGAAAGUAAGACUAAUACCCAAUGACGUCUCUAGAAGACAUCUGAAAGAGAUUAAAGAUUUAUCGGUGAUGGAUGGGGAUGCGUCUGAUUAGCUUGUUGGCGGGGUAACGGCCCACCAAGGCAACGAUCAGUAGGGGUUCUGAGAGGAAGGUCCCCCACAUUGGAACUGAGACACGGUCCAAACUCCUACGGGAGGCAGCAGUGAGGAAUAUUGGUCAAUGGGCGAGAGCCUGAACCAGCCAAGUAGCGUGCAGGAUGACGGCCCUAUGGGUUGUAAACUGCUUUUAUAAGGGAAUAAAGUGGGAGUCGUGACUCCUUUUGCAUGUACCUUAUGAAUAAGGACCGGCUAAUUCCGUGCCAGCAGCCGCGGUAAUACGGAAGGUCCGGGCGUUAUCCGGAUUUAUUGGGUUUAAAGGGAGCGUAGGCCGGAGAUUAAGCGUGUUGUGAAAUGUAGGCGCUCAACGUCUGCACUGCAGCGCGAACUGGUUUCCUUGAGUACGCACAAAGUGGGCGGAAUUCGUGGUGUAGCGGUGAAAUGCUUAGAUAUCACGAAGAACUCCGAUUGCGAAGGCAGCUCACUGGAGCGCAACUGACGCUGAAGCUCGAAAGUGCGGGUAUCGAACAGGAUUAGAUACCCUGGUAGUCCGCACGGUAAACGAUGGAUGCCCGCUGUUGGUCUGAAUAGGUCAGCGGCCAAGCGAAAGCAUUAAGCAUCCCACCUGGGGAGUACGCCGGCAACGGUGAAACUCAAAGGAAUUGACGGGGGCCCGCACAAGCGGAGGAACAUGUGGUUUAA
rnacentral:rRNA from 1 species